CCUCCAAUCUUUGGCAAGCCACAUACUAAACUGGAAUGAUAGAAAGAAGAUUAGCACGGCCCCUUGCAAGGACGACGGGCAGAUUGAUGAAAUGCUCCAAGUUUUG
ensembl:snRNA U6 U6 spliceosomal RNA